UACGUAGGCAGCAAGCGUUGUUCGGAGUUACUGGGCGUAAAGCGCGUUCAGGCGGUUUGGCAAGUCGGGCAUGAAAUCUCUCGGCUCAACCGGGAGAGGUUGUCCGAUACUGCUGGACUUGAGGGCAGUAGAGGGUGGUGGAAUUCCGGGUGUAGUGGUGAAAUGCGUAGAUAUCCGGAGGAACACCAGUGGCGAAAGCGGCCACCUGGACUGUACCUGACGCUAACACGCGAAAGCUAGGGGAGCGAACGGG
rnacentral:rRNA from 1 species